AUUUAGAGGAAGGAGAAGUCGUAACAAGGUUUCCGUAGGUGAACCUGCGGAAGGAUCAUUGUCGAAACCUGCCUAGCAGAACGACCCGCGAACACGUUCAACCAAAACUACUCGGCCGGGGGAAAGCUCGGGCUCCGCCCCGGCGGUCCCGCGUUCCCCCUCGGCCUAACAACGAACCCCGGCGCGAUCUGCGCCAAGGAACUACAACGCAGAGAGCAUGCCACCGGCACGCCGGAGCGGCUGAUCUCUCGAUUAAAAGAAUCCAAAACGACUCUCGGCAACGGAUAUCUCGGCUCUCGCAUCGAUGAAGAACGUAGCGAAAUGCGAUACUUGGUGUGAAUUGCAGAAUCCCGUGAACCAUCGAGUCUUUGAACGCAAGUUGCGCCCUAAGCCAUUAGGCCGAGGGCACGCCUGCCUGGGUGUCACGCAUCGUCGCCCCCCCUCCAAAGCCCCUCGCGUCGCGAGGUGCCCGAGGGGGGCGGAAACUGGCCUCCCGUGUGCUUUCCCCGCCCGCGGUUGGCCGAAAAUCGAGUCCCACGGCGUCCGAGCGCCGCGACAAACGGUGGUUGGCCUGAUCCAAAGACCUCAGAACACCGUCGCGCGCGCCCGUCGCCAACGAGGUGGGUGCUCCACGACCCUAAUCUUUCGCAUCGCGACCCCAGGUCAGGCGGGACUACCCGCUGAGUUUA
rnacentral:rRNA from 1 species